rnacentral:ncRNA from 1 species
UAUGGUAUGGCUGGAAAGCUACGUCACGAAUAGAUAACUGCUGAAACCAUAUCAAGCAGGAAACUACUCCUCUAUACUUCCUUUGAAACUUAGGGUAGACCACCCUAUUGAUAGGGCCUGGGUGUAAUAGCAGUAAUGCUUUUAGCCUCGGGUUACUAAUUGUUAAGCAACUUGGUUUU